rnacentral:rRNA from 1 species
CACCGGCGCCACAAGUGGGGACCAGUUUUAUUGGGCCUAAAGCGUUCGUAGCCGGCUAUGUAAAUCCUUUGUGAAAGCGUCUCGCUUAACGUGACGGAUUGCAGGGGACACUGCAUAGCUAGGGAUCGGGAGGGGUUUGGAGUAUUUUGUGGGGAGCGGUAAAAUGCAAUAAUCCACAAAAGACUACCUGUGGCGAAGGCGCCAAACCAGUACGAAUCCGACGGUGAGGGACGAAGGCUAGGGGAGCGAUCCGG